rfam:Anaerostipes sp. CAG:276 genomic scaffold, scf90
UGGGCUAUCGCCAAGUGGUAAGGCACAGGAUUCUGACUCCUGCAUCCGCUGGUUCGAAUCCAGCUAGCCCAG